CCUAUCCUCUCGUGGACCCUAACCUUCGUCUUGCAACUUACCGCCUCACUGCUGAGCAUUUUACAGAGACCAUGAUUUUCAGAUACACAGACGUGCGUACGAAGUAGACGCGAACAGCAUCAGCCUUUCAGGUUUACUAGCAGUUUGAGGUUUCAGCGACCCGGAAACAUUUCGGCUCAGAAUGUGAAUUUUUCGCGACGCUAAGCACACGUGGGGGACCGCGCGGCGGACCGAGUUUUGUCGAUUCCUCGCUGCGCUCGGCCCUGUAGCCAACGAGCCUGGAGGCGGCGAGGCCUCUCGGCCGUCCUUCGGGGGCCGCCGCGCACCGCCCGCCUGGGAACCUGGGCCGCCCAGCACGGGUCAGGGAGAACCGGGGCCGGGAACCGCGGCCGCCGCCACACAGCACGGGCCGGGAGCCGGAACCGCCCAGCACGGGCCGGUCGGCCGGAGGGACGGCCGGUCGGCCGGCGUCCGCGGGGCGCGCUGGGCCAGGGCGGAGGCCCCAACUACCUGAGGAUGUUGUGCGCCUCCAUGCUCCGGUUCUGGUUGCUCGAGCACACCACCGCCACCCGCAGCGGCGAUGACGGCAUGGCGGCGGCCGCACGGUCCGCGACUCCCGCUUCGGGACUCCCACCCAGCCGCGCCGCUUCCGCGCGAGCAAGAUGGCGGCCCCGGCGCCCGGAAGUCAUUACGCGAAGCGGCGGCGCCGGCGACGUAGCGCGUCAGGACGCGCGGCGCUGGCGUGUGUACGGCGUCCCAGCGGCUUCCCAGCGCCGGCCCAGAGAGCUGGACCGCGGGCCGUGGGAGGCCCAGCUCCCCGGGCGCCAGACCGGCCAGCGACCGCGCCGCUGCUUCGGGCGCGAGCGCCGAGGCCGGCGCUUGGCACGGAAGCCUCCGGGCGCCCUGCGUUGGCGUCCUGACGUCACAAGCCCCCGCCGCCGUCGCCGCUAGUGACGCGCAAGGCGUCGCGCCGGCUCCUGUGACGUCACGCGCGCCGUCGCCGUCGCCUGGAGUGACGUGGGAGGCGCCGCGGCCCCUGGGGCGGGCGUUGGAGGUGACUGGUCGUGCCCGGCGUCUCCAGGUCUUCGUUGCUGCACGCGGGCUGCGGGCUUUCUCCAGUUUUGGCGAGCAGGGGCUACUUUUCAUUGCGGUGCAUGGGCUUCUCAUUGCGGUGGCUUCUCUUGUUGCGGAGCACGGGCUCUAGAGCACAGGCUCAGUAGUUGUGGCGCACGGGCUUCGUUGCUCCGCGGCAUGUGGGAUCUUCCCGGACCAGGGCUCGAACCCGUGUCCCCUGCAUUGGCAGGCAGACCCUCAACCACUGCACCACCAGGGACGCCCCGGAAAGAGGGCAUUUAUGGGUGGUAGGGUUAACAGUGCUUUGAAUGCCCGUUAUACUUUUUUGAAUUCCUUAACUUUGUACUUUAUGAUGAACAUGUAUUUUCUCUUACCCCCACCACAAAUAAUAGCGCUGUUUACAUUUUGAAAGGAAGGCCCCCUCCAUGGCUUCCCCAGUAUGUGCUCCUGAAUUCAAAGACAUUAUGGUCUGACAGUACCGGUGCAAUACCGAGCUCUCCUACCUCACCUCUCCCUGCUUCUUGUUUAGAACUUAAGGGAGCACCAGCUGGAAACUGUCCCAUGCCUUUCUUACCUCGGCGUACGCCACCUCCAUACCUCAAGUUGUAGUCCAGGCACUGAGAUUCAGAUAGAUGUCACCAGCCUCAAGAAAGCUUACCUGCGUCCUCCUCUUCUCCUGCUGGCCUUUCUCUGCUCCUAGUACCACCCUCAACUUAACUCUUAUGGUUCUGAACACUUUUAGCAUUCUGUGCAUCUCUACCCCACUGCAUUCAUAGACUCUGAGCUCCAAAGGGCUAGGGACUCCACUUCCAGCCCAGAUGGCUUUUUUGCCUUAUGUGUGGUGCAUUUAGAAAUGUUCCUCUAGAGGCACUCACUGAGUACUCGUCGGGCAGGUACAUGAGGGAGAAGGUGCCCAGGUGGUUGUCAGAGCCCUCUGUGCACUGUCUGUGCUUAUGCUACCAGCAUCUGAUGAACUUUAUACUUUCAUCAUGAUGUGGGAACCCCAAGCUGAAAUAUAACUAGCCUUGGGAACUUCCCUGGUGGCGCAGUGGUUGAGAAUCCGCCUGCCAGUGCAGGGGACACGGGUUCGAGCCCUGGUCCGGGAAGAUCCCUCAUGCCUCAGAGCAAAUAAGCCCAUGCGCUACAACUACUGAGCCUGCGAGCCACAGCUACUUGUAAGGCCAACUGGCCCGAGGCAGGGGAAGGCAAUCAGACUCACAGGAUGCAUCAGACCGAAACCUUCCGGACCACCCAGUUCCAGAAACUGACCUGGAGACUUUCCGGACCACCCAGUUCCAAUGGGGACUUUCCAUCCGGCCCAGCCUUCCCGCCAUUCGAGGGGCGGGACUAACGGUCCCAAGACUGAUGCAACCGGCACCGGAUAUUGCCACGAUACCCGAAGAGACCACCAAAUAAGGAAUAACCUGCGCCCUCCCGGAUUCACCGCACCCCUUUCCCUUCUUCCCCUAUAAAUUCUUACCAAACCCUCGCCCGGGCGCGACUUCUCUGGCCCCUUUCUCUGGGACCAGUGAACCUCGCCCGGGAGCGUUCCCAAAUAAAGCUUGUUUAAGCUCUC